rnacentral:lncRNA from 1 species
CCUAUUCAGACCAACAUAUUUUGACGAUGCUACUGCUUCAUUUAUAAAUCUUCUCACAUAAGCAUUUUUUACCACUGUAGCAAACGGGGCCAUCAAAUAGCCAUUUUGAUCUGCUGCCUUGCUGAUAAACAAAUUCAUAUUGUUUGUUUGGAGCUAAAAAAAGUCAGCCCUAGGGACUUCCAUAAAAUUGAGCAUCUCCAACAGGUUAUCUAAACCCACUACCUAUCCUAUAUUUGGGUAGUGGAGGCAAAAAAAAGUCUCUAGCAGACUACCUAUCAGACUAUCUACUUUUGUUGGUCCAAUAAAUUCUCUCUCCAAUUACCUAUAUAUGUGCUGACGUGAAUAUCAUAAUUCUUGUGCUAGUGAACUUCAAUUGUAAAUGAUAGUAAACUGCUG